GACGAACGCUGGCGGCGUGCUUAACACAUGCAAGUCGAACGGAAAGGCCCUGCUUUUGUGGGGUGCUCGAGUGGCGAACGGGUGAGUAACACGUGAGUAACCUGCCCUUGACUUUGGGAUAACUUCAGGAAACUGGGGCUAAUACCGGAUAGGAGCUCCUGCUGCAUGGUGGGGGUUGGAAAGUUUCGGCGGUUGGGGAUGGACUCGCGGCUUAUCAGCUUGUUGGUGGGGUAGUGGCUUACCAAGGCUUUGACGGGUAGCCGGCCUGAGAGGGUGACCGGCCACAUUGGGACUGAGAGACGGCCCAGACUCCUACGGGAGGAAGAAGUGGGGAAUAUUGAAGAAGGGGCGGAAGCCUGAUGCAGCAACGCCGCGUGAGGGAUGACGGCCUUCGGGUUGUAAACCGCUUUCGCCUGUGACGAAGCGUGAGUGACGGUAAUGGGUAAAGAAGCACCGGCUAACUACG
rnacentral:rRNA from 1 species